UGGGGAAUUUUGGACAAUGGGCGAAAGCCUGAUCCAGCAAUGCCGCGUGUGUGAAGAAGGCCUUCGGGUUGUAAAGCACUUUUGCCCGGAAAGAAAUCCUUGGCUCUAAUACAGUCGGGGGAUGACGGUACCGGAAGAAUAAGCACCGGCUAACUACGUGCCAGCAGCCGCGGUAAUACGUAGGGUGCAAGCGUUAAUCGGAAUUACUGGGGCGUAAAGCGUGCGCAGGCGGUUUGCUAAGACCGAUGUGAAAUCCCCGGGCUCAACCUGGGAACUGCAUUGGUGACUGGCAGGCUAGAGUAUGGCAGAGGGGGGUAGAAUUCCACGUGUAGCAGUGAAAGUGCGUAGAGAUGUGGAGGAAUACCGAUGGCGAAGGCAGCCCCCUGGGCCAAUACUGACGCUCAUGCACGAAAGCGUGGGGAGCAAACAGGAUUAGAUACCCUGGUAGUCCACGCCCUAAACGAUGUCAACUAGUUGUUGGGGAUUCAUUUCCUUAGUAACGUAGCUAACGCGUGAAGUUGACCGCCU
rnacentral:rRNA from 1 species